rnacentral:rRNA from 1 species
CACCUGGGGAGUGCGGCCGCAAGGUUAAAACUCAAAUGAAUUGACGGGGGCCCGCACAAGCGGUGGAGCAUGUGGUUUAAUUCGACGCAACGCGAAGAACCUUACCUGGCCUUGACAUGCAGAGAACUUUCCAGAGAUGGAUUGGUGCCUUCGGGAACUCUGACACAGGUGCUGCAUGGCCGUCGUCAGCUCGUGUCGUGAGAUGUUGGGUUAAGUCCCGUAACGAGCGCAACCCCUAUCCCUAGUUGCUAGCAGUUCGGCUGAGAACUCUAGGGAGACUGCCGGUGACAAACCGGAGGAAGGUGGGGAUGACGUCAGGUCAUCAUGGCCCUUACGGCCAGGGCUACACACGUGCUACAAUGGCGCGCACAGAGGGCUGCAAACCCGCGAGGGGGAGCCAAUCUCACAAAUCGCGUCGUAGUCCGGAUCGCAGACUGCAACUCGACUGCGUGAAGUCGGAAUCGCUAGUAAUCGUGAAUCAGAAUGUCACGGUGAAUACGUUCCCGGGCCUUGUACACACCGCCCGUCACACCAUGGGAGUGGAUUGCACCAGAAGUGGUUAGUCUAACCUUCGGGAGGACGAUCACCACGGUGUGGCUCAUGACUGGGGUGAAGUCGUAACAAGGUAACCGCA